GGAUGCAAUAUACCAGCUACUAAUGCACCGGAUCCCAUCAGCAAGUCCGAAGUUAAGCGUGCUUGGGCGAGAGUUCAGUACGAGGGAUGGGUACCCGUGUUGGAGGAGUCUCGUGAUUGCAUCCC
rnacentral:rRNA from 1 species